UGUGAGAAGCUGCAGCCAGGGUGACAGAUCUGCCCAGUUUGCCAGGACAUUCCUGGUUCUAGCACUGAAAAGUCCCACAUCCCUGGAAGCUGCUCGGUUCAGGCAAACCAGGACGACGCCAGGAGCAGAACUUGGGCUCAUAAAGUAAACCCAAAUGUGAUCCUGGCUCAGGACCUUGGUUCCUAUGCUCAUCUGAUCGGCAGCGAUAAAGGAAAACAUGCAGGGUUCUGUCAUUUUUAUUUGCCAUGGAAAAGAAGAAAGGGGAGGAGAGCUGAAAGCCCAUGCCGUGGCCUCCUUUCCAGAACAGCUUUCCUUACAGGCUCGCACACUACUGGCCAGGCCGGGUCUUGGUCCCAUGCUCUUCUCACCCACCCCUUUGCCCACCGCCUCGCCCCUCAGGGGCCCUGCCACCCCAGCCUUUGCUGAGACUUGUCUAGACAAGGCCAUUUUUGACAAAAGGGACUGGACUGCCCCCAAAGAUGUGGUUGUGUCCAAGCUUCUGGAAGCAGGAUAACAUCAUGGGGUCUUCUGUGCAUGAUGGGCCUGUAUAGCCUGUGGUUCAGCUUUGCAGUCUAAGCAGUCUGAGGAAACGGGUGCUGGCUAGAACAACGGGUUGCUUAACUUGAGCAUCCAUGAUCACCAGGGGCUAACUGCAAAAUAUCAUUUUGAUGGGAGCAGCUAGUGACGCCACAGUUCUAUGAAUGGCCUCAUGGGCAUGUCUCCUGCAGCUGCUACAGUUAGGCAUUAAAUCAAGACAAACAGAGGGGGCGGAGGCAUGACUAUCAGAAAGGACAUCCUAUGCAUUGCCUUGUACCUUACCCCAAAUGCCCAUUAUUCAUUGUGCAUCUGGUGAUUCUGAAGCGGGUGUGGCUGCCCCUAGGAGAACCCAAGAACUGACACGUCACGUGAGAGGCAAUUCCUUAGGGAUACACGUUACGAAGGGGAUUCCAGGGAUCCUUCCAGCCCCGCCCCACCCCACCGUGGCCUAGGCUGAAGGGGCCUUUCUGCCUCAUGUUGACCACAGUGCCAGUUUGGAUGCUAUGAUGGUCGUGUGCCCAUUUGCAGGGGGCACUGGUGCUCCCAUCUCACUUUCUCCUGCCCGUGUGGUGACGGUGUGGAGUGCUCACCCCACAGUGCUGUGGGCUUCCACGUGACGGGGUUGCCCUCCCCGGGAUGAGUGUGCUCAGCCCCUAGCAUGGGGCCCACCCGCCUCUGCCGCAGGAGGGAUGCAUCCAGGCCAGCCUGAAAGGUCCCGGCUGAGUAGUUGAGUAUGUUCCUCUUACAGAGAAAAAGGAGAGGAGGAAAGGGAUCCUGAUGAAUCAGAAUGAAAAACAAGGGGGGCGAUUUGUUAGUUUAUUCAGCGUCUGGCAGGGCUGGACGUCUGUUUGCGAUUUCUACUGUAAAGCUGAUCACUGUCCAAAAAUACUCCACAUUCAUCCACAAGUCAAUGAUUGUGAUGCUCAAAAGAAGACCACCCACACUUGGUGGGGAACUUCCCAGAGAAUUCCAGGAACAAGGGGACAAAUAACCCACUGUGUGUCAAAGGGCAGUGGCCUGCUGUAGUCUGUGCAAGACAAGGACUCCCCCACCACCUGAUUUCAUUGCUUCAGAUUUUCUCAUUGCUCUUUUUUUUUUUCAAAAUUAAUUUUGCAAAUGGAGCAGCACUAAGGAAGCAAACCAUGCUAAAUGCAUUUGUGCUACUCAGGAUCAUUAUUUUACAAUUUAACUUAUUUUGCACAUUACUGUAUUACCAAGUUAUGAAUGUUUCUAGGGAAACCUUUUUAGAACCUGAAUGGAAAUACCUCAUAUGUAAAUCGCCCUCCUUGGUUUAUUAUCGUGGCACUUAAUUCCUUUGUCUUUGAUGUUAUCUGGAAAGUGGUGGUGUUGCUCCUUAGUGAUAUGAGAACACAGCCUCCCUCUCCAAUCUGGGAUUCAGAUUAGUUACGAAUUCCUAACUGCUCACCAGUAAGUAGGUCACCAGCCUCCACUGCUAGGCCAACUCCCCUUCCAGCUGUGACAUAUACUUUUUACCCCAGCAAGCCGAUUGCAGGUUGUCGGGCCCUAGAUGAGGCUGGCAUAGUGAGCGCCUGGCGGCUGGGUGCAAAGUGCUGUGUGCACCAGCAGCAGCCGAUGCACAGUGUGGCCGGCCUGGGGAGAGGAGUUCUGCUCGUGGGGUCUCAGGCAGGAGGGACCCCAGUCCGCUCAGCCUCUAGCAAGGGCUCGGGAUUGGGAUACCUGGCCAGAACUGAGGCAGGGACCAACGAAGGCUGGGGGCAGCUGGGUCCCCAGUUAUGCGAGUUGAGUCUUGGUGACUUGGUGAGUAAAAUAAGACCCUUGUUAGAAUUUGGUUCAAAUUUGCCCUUCAAAACUGCUCACUCGUUGCUACUUGGCUAAGUGUCUCUGUCAUGCCCUUCCCAGAGAGGCAGGUCCUCCCGUCUGAGAGGCCCCUGACCACUUCUCGAAUGGCACUCAGCACACUGUGUUGUCACUGUCUGAUGCACGGUCCUCUCCACUAUAUGCCCUUCCUGCAGCAAAGGAGCCCUGUAUCACCGCUAUGAGCUCAGCACCCAGCACACUAACAUGUAAGUAAAGGAUACACGGGACAAACCUGCAAAACAGACCAGAUGCCAAAACCCUGAUUAGAAAUCCAGUGGGUCUCAGAAAGUUCGGGGUGGGUACAGUGUUUCUUAAACUUGGCCAUUAGAAGCAUUUCAAAAAAUCAGUAUCUUGACUAGAGGCUGAGACCCAAGGGGCUGCCACUGCAGACUGGAGGGCAAGCUAAAGGUUAGGAAAAUAGGAAGGUGAUUCCUCCAUUGUUCCAGGGUCAAGUACAAAGAUCCGGGAUCAGGAAUGUCCUCCCCAUAGCUGGAGACUGGCCUCUAACCCCCCUGCACUGGCCAAGCAGGUCUCUGGCUGGAGACUGGCCUCUAACCCCCCUGCACUGGCCAAGCAGGUCUCCGGCUUCCUUUCUGGGAGCUAUGUGUCUCAACUCGGACGGGCAUGGUUGUUUUACUUAACUGGGAGGAGGGUGAGAAGGAGGCCAGAGACUGAAAUCAAAUCCAGUUAUGUUCACAUCCCUGAAGGGAAUGAUGGCCUGCUGGGAAUGGCAGGCAGGUGGUUUCUGCGAAGUGUCCCGGGCAGGGCCAGGCAGAGCCACCCCUCCCACUGUGGUAGCCUCCUUCUUGGGCUUGCUCUCCUUGGAACCCCAGGGGCUACCUGCACAUUGGGUGUCAGGUGCAGUGUCUUGAGAUGAAUGAAAGCUUUGCACUCCCGGUCCCAGUCAGGGCUACAGACCCACAUGCGCACACCAUCUGCAUCCAUGAAGGAGGAGGUCAGAAUCAGGGGCGUGGCCAGGUGCAGGAGGUAAGAGCCUGUGGGUGCAACUUCUCUCUUACUGACACCACGGGCAUCUUCUAGCAUCGGCUGUGUAUCGAGUGCCGAGGGUGCCAUGGUGUGGGUGUGGGAGCCCUCAGGAAGUCCACACCUACUCGUACUCUCCUUUUCCAAGGCCAAGGCCUCCAACAUGAGGCCCAGGAGUGUAUGUGUUGGGGGAGCUGCUAACUGCUGAGACAAGACAAUGGCUCCUGACCUUCUGCCGCCCAUGGGGAGGGAGCAAGUAUAGUGAACCACAGUGGAAGGUGGCCCGUGCCCCACUGUGGCUGUAACCACAGUGGGAGUAGAAAGAAGGUGACGUUUAAUUUUUCUAGGGGACAAGAAGGAGAGAUGUCCAUGUCUUGAGUGUGGGGUCGGCAAGUUAUCCCUUUCCUGUGCCUAUUUUGGGCGGCUCUGGAUUUCUUCCAGGAGACCAGCUGUGCCCAUGGUGUCUCAGAAUUCCCUGCUGCCUGGAGGCUUCCUGGGGGCCCCGGAUGCUGGUUUGAAGCAAACAUGCACAUACCUUCCAGCCUCCUGAAUUCGAGUUUGGCCUCCAGCCCUGUUCCCACUGGCAUCCCCAGAGUGGGCAUUUUGCUGAUGUCGCCGGCCGGCCUCGGGCCCCGUCAUGAGCUUAAAAGGAGUUGCCCCAGGCAGCCCCACUGAAGGCAGCUGCCAUAGCGGAGGCUGAGUGCAGAGAUGCUCGGGCAGCUGAGGCAGGGCUGUCCCCUGAUAUCCUCCCCACUGGGCCUCAUGCCCCGCACCUUCCUGUAGCUCACUGGGCCCCCUCGGGGACUCCAGUCCAAAUGGUCUGGACAGGCGUCUGCCCUCAGUGCCUGAGUUCCUCAUAGGGACCGCUUGAGGAUCUCAGCUGCAUCUGAAGGUAGCCUGGCUGCUCUCGGGCUGGGGAAGUACCUGAAGGGGACCAUGGGUGCAGUCCUCCCCUCAGCCUAUCAGCUGUCUUUAAGGCCCCUCUUUUCAGAGCCCUAUCACCAAGUGUCACCAGGAGCCUUCAGUCCUGGGUCUCCUGGAGAGCCUUCUGGACAGCUGAGUCACAUCCUGGAGGGAUUCUGGCAGGGGGAUUGGGGCACCAAGGACAUGAUGGUACAUUUCAGGAGAAACAACAAGAUUGGCAGCUCUUGGCUCCGCUGCUCUUGGCUGUGAUAGAACCUGGCUACAGCUGCAAGUCUGAGACCCGAGGGCCUUACACCCUGGCCCUCUAGGGAAGCUGUAGUGUAAGUGGCUGAGGCCAGGAGGGGUAACCAUCCACUCAUUCAUUCAACCUUUGUCUGCUGAGCCCAGACCAUGCUUACUACCCAGCUCAGCACCUCAGAGGUUUCCCUUGGUGGCCCCUGCAGCCAUCUGUGUCCCCACAGGGCCAGGAAGCUGUGGAGCGGGAGCAUGUCAACCAGCUCCCACCCACUCCUGCUUGGCCAUGUGCUGGGUUCCCAGGACUCCAGAAUUCGCUGCCCCAAACUGGGGCCUGCACAGGCCUCUUCCCCAGGGUCCCCUCCCUUGGGUCUACUUGCAGGCGUGUGCACCCCCAGACGGGCAUGCGAAUGGGUGGCUCCAGUGUAUGCAGGCAGCCCCUCACCUGGCAGGAUGUGGGGAGAGCAGGGAGGAGGGUGGCAUGGUCUUCACGUGUGCUCCUGUCACAGGCUCUGCAGAAGUUACAGCUGCCCAACUGAGCAUCCAGUGUGGGCUGCACUGUCCUAGGUGCCGGGCAGUGAACAGCUCAUGGGGAAUUCCGACCACAGACGAGGGACAUGCAUCAGCAAAGAUGCCGUGAAUAGCCGUGGGAGCAAAGAAAGAGCAGAGUGGCAGCAAGGCGGGUGAGUUCAAAGCAGCUGAUGCUUGGCCCAGGGCUUCAUAAAUCUCCCCAACCCUCCAUCCCCCUAGCAGGACAACAACGGGUCUCAGAGCCUGGGACAAAGUCAGGCUGCAGGUGUGGCCAAGGCAUGUGGGGUGUGGGGUAUUUUGCCAGGCAUGCACCUUUACUUGUAAAAUGUAGAAAGUCAGCGGUGGCCUUGGCAGGAGCAGUUUUAAGAAGCAUUCAUGAGAAAUUUAAUAGCUGGUCUGGGCUUUAGUAGAUCCUGCUCCAGAGUAAGCAUGUCAUUUAAAUAUGUGGAGGUAGAUGCCCAAAAAAUACAAAGCAGCUGCAAGAGUUGGAAGCAGUAACCUCUGGGAAUUAGGAAUGUUCCUGGGGUGUGAAGUGGGGAAACCCAUGAUUUUUGUUUUAAUCCAGGCAGUCCUGUUUCAGUUUUAAACUAUGCUGAUUGUAUAGUUUGAUUAUUAAAUUUUAAGUUAAAAAUCCAAUUUUAAAAAAAAGAUCUUGCUCUGACAUCUUCCACAAACGGGAAGCUGUGAUUGCUCUUGUAAAUGUGAGGAAUGCUCACUGCCUAUGGUGUUUGGACUGCAGGGAGUGGAAGGAACACCAGCUCUUCCAGGCAAGGCCAGUUGCAGGCACUGUUUUACUAGGAAGAAAGAAAAGAAGGUGUUUGCAAUUUUUUUUUUCCCUGCCCAGGCUGGAGCGCUGUGGCGUGAUCUCGGCUCACUGCGACCUCCGCCUCCUGGGUUCAAGGGAUUCUCCUGCCUCAGCCUCCAAAGUAGCUGGGAUUACAAGCACCCACCACCACACCCGGCUAAAUGUUUUUUGUAUUUUUAGUAGAGACGGGGUUUCACCAUGUUGGCCAGGCUGGUCUGGAACUCCUGACCUCAAGUGAUCCUCCCACCUCAGCCUCCCAAAGUGCUGGGAUUAUAGGCGUGCACCACAGCACCCAGCCUCCAAUUUCUUUUCUGCCAAGCCUCAAGAAACCAGGUCUGAAGCACUUCUGGAACCCCCACCUCUGACUCCUGUCUCGGACCCUGCCCACCCCGUAGCCAGACCCCCCUGACUCUAGACUUUCUCUGGUCCACACAAGUCACCUCGAAGUACUGGCAAAUGACAGAUGCUUAGGCAUUUCACCGUUUGGAAGCUACUCUGCAUUUUCCCAUCUGGAAAGUCACUCCCGUGAUCCUGAAACACAUUUUUCAUGCGAUAAGAAAUGUUAACUAAACAAUGAGAUACUGGAGGCCUGGGAGCUGCACGGGAGGCCUCCAGCAGGCGUCCUGCAGGGCCUCAGAGUAAACAGCAUGGGGUGGGUGGGGCAGGGGGAGAUCUUUUUUCCUUUCUUUUGAGCAGCUGAUACUACCUAUUUUGUCUAUUUACCUAUCUAUCUACCUACCUACCUUUCUUUCUGUCCUCUAUCAAUCAGUCCUUAUCUACCUAUCUAGCAUCUGUGAAAGGAAAAUAAAAUCUCCCCAAACUCAUACGCCAAAGGAAAAAGUCAAGCCUGGGAACCGAGACACGCAAAACUGCCUCCCUUCUAAUUUGCUUGCAGAGAAAUUCCUUGUGGGCCCCAAGAUCUUUACUCUAAAACAGUUCUGUUAAAUUUCACCCUGAAAAUGUAAAUGAACAGCUUAUCUUUACAAAUGUGGGACAAAGAAAGGACUAGGAGUCCUCCAUCUGCUCACCUGAGACAAAGGCACUCAUGACUCCUUCUUCAACUCUAUGUUUACUGUAUGUAAAAAUGCAGAUCUGCAGAGCUGGAGAUGAAUGUACAAUUGACUAUUUCUCUACCCACUCUUUUUACAUGUAAAAUGUGGAUUCAGCGAAGGUUGAUCAAAAGCCUCAAAGGCGGGUUGCAGUGGUUGCAAAAUGCCCCUUUUCCCUACCCCCCGCCCCGCCUUUUUCCCCUAUUGCCCAUUCUUUCCCCUUUAAAUAAUGAAGUCCCCAAAUCCUCUUUGGAAAAAGUAGCCACAGUUGGGUCUGUCGCUCAUGUCCCUUUUCCCUCAGCACAUCUUUAACCUUGGCAAAAUAAACCUCUAAAUUAAUUGAAA